rnacentral:lncRNA from 1 species
AUGGGGAGAGGACCCCACACACAGGAGAGGACCCCACACAUACAGGGAGAGAACCCACACACACACAGGAGAGGACCCCACCCACAGGAGAGGACCCCACACACGGGAGAGUACCCCACCCACACAUGGGGAGCAGAUCCCCCCCACCCACACGGGAGAGGACCCCACACACGGGAGAGGACCCCACACAUAGGAGAGUACCCCACCCACACAUGGGGAGCAGAUCCCCCCACCCACACGGGAGAGGACCCCACACACACAUGGGGAGAGGAUCCCCCCACCCACAGGAGAGGACCCCACAUAUACAGGGAGAGAACCCGCACACACACGGGAGAGGAUCCCACCCACAGGAGAGGACCCCACACACGGGAGAGGACCCCACACAUACAGGGAGAGAACCCACACACACACGGGAGAGGACCCCACACAUGGGGAAAGGACCCCACACAUACGGGGAGAGAACCCCACACAUACACGGGAGAAGACCCCACCCACAGGAGAGGACCCCACACACGGGAGAGGACGCCACAUAUACUGGGAGAGAACCCCACACUCACUCAGGAGAGGACUCCAUCCACAGGAGAGGACCCCAUCCACAGGAGAGGACCCCACACAUACAGGGAGAGGACCCCACACAUACAGGGAGAGAACCCACACACGGGAGAGUACCCCACCCACAGGAGAGGACCCCACACACGGGAGAGGACCCCACACAUACAGGGAGAGAACCCCACACACACACAGGAGAGGACCCCACACAUGGGGAGAGGACCCUAUACACAGGGAGAUGACUCCACACACAGAGGGAGAGGCCCCCACACAUACAGGGAGAGAACCCCCCACACACACGGGAGAGGAUCCCACCCACAGGAGAGGACCCCACACACACAUGGGAGAGGACCCCACACAUGGGGAGAGGACCCUAUACACAGGGAGAGAACCCCACACACACACGGGAGAGGACCCCACACACGAGGAGAGGACCUCACAGACCCAUGGGGAGAGGACCCUAUACACAGGAAGAUGACUCCAUACACAGAGGGAGAGGACCCCACACAUACAGGGAGAGAACCCACACAUGGGAGAGGACCCCACACAUACAGGGAGAGAACCCCACACACGAGGAGAGGACCUCACAGACAGGGAGAGAACCCCCACACACACACAUACACACUCCUACCAAAUUUUGACAUAUUCAGCACAGCGGGUGUUUCCAUAUAA